UUUAAUUUCUUUUAGUGAUUUUAUUCCAAAGCAAAGUGACCCUAGCUGGUAAAUUAUCAGAGGGACUUUAUAAUAGGUUUCUUCUCUCAUGCUCUUGCAACUGCUCACUGAAUUGGGCUCUUACAUCCUGAUUUGUGCUGUCAGUGGCACAGAUCUGUUAACUCAUUGUAUGAGUUUAUCACUUCUUGUUGUUCUGAUUUUAAAAGUCUUAUUUGUUAUUGCAGUUUAUGUGUUCUUAGAACACAUAAUAAAGAGGGACAUUUGGUGAUGUUUGGCUUAUUUAGAAAAUAGUUAUGAUCUAAAAAAUCAUAACUCUGGUUUUAUGAGGAAAAACAACCCAAGAGUGAACAAAAGCAAGCCAUUAAUAAAGGAAUGUGUAACUGAGGACCAUUUGGUGAUCUUGAGCUUCCUUUGCAAAUAGACUGUUACAGUCUAUUUUGAACUCAACGUCCAAAUGUUACCAGCUCUAAUACAAAGCAGAUUUAUUAGAUAUUGUCAUAAAAAGUGCUAUUUAUUUAUGUUUGUUGGUUUUGGUCUCUUUUUUAAUGUUCCCUUAGGUUUGGAAGGCUGACUGAGGAUAGCAGAGGCUUCAAAACAGACCUGCGGCUUACUGUGACCUUGGCCAGUUCACAUGGGACUUGGUGCUAAUUCAAGAGGAUGCGGUCACUGGAAGAACAAACCAGCAAUAGCGUCAGAGAAACAAAGUGCAGCAGAAUAAUAAGCAUCUGAACCAUAAACACUGCUACCACAUGUGAUGGACCAUAUCCAAGUUAAACACUCUCACCAGAGCAUGCUCCAAGACAGGCGACUGGGCCUCAGGCUUUGCCAAUACAAUGCAGUUCUAUUCUCUAUUUAUUUUUGUAGUUCAAAGACCUGGCAGUAGCCCAUUUGAUGCCUGCCAUAAGGACCAGUGCACUCUUGAUUACUGCCAUGAGAUUUCCAAGCCCACAGACGGCGUAUGUUCCAAUGUAUGCCAGUCACCAAGAUAGACUGUGCACAAAUAGCAGGAGGAUUCUCUGAGAGAAAGAAAAAAGCCAGCUCCUAUUUCCACUUUGAACCGCCCUGUAAUAGGCUGCCAACUUGAGGACCUUGCUUUAAUCACAGCAGCACAUGAAAGAGUUCAUUCUGUUUAUCUUGGUUCAUUUAGGAAACCAGUGAUAAGUCUGCCAUGAAAAAAAAUCCGUCUUCUCCUGGAAGCUGGCAUACUUGUCCCAAGAUAUGGGCUUUGAUUUCAAGUGCAGUUAUUUACAGUUAUACCACAGAGCACAUGAGUUUUCUCAUUCUACCAGAUGACUACUUUUCCCUGAUAAGCAAGCUGUGAAUACUUAAAAUUUCCUCUCAAGUACAAUGGCAUCUCUGUGUGGAAGUUGUAGGAAGAGGGCAGCAGAUGCUCCUACAGCUUCAGGUUAAGUGUGCAAGCUGCAUCCUGAUGUUCGCACCCAGCCAGGCAGGAAGAGGAGCUGGAGGAAGAGCUGUGGCCCACACAUAGGAGGGAACAAGGUGUGCAAUGUGACUAAACUUUCUUCCACUAGGCUUUCUGAAGCAAACAAGACAAGUGCAACUGUAAAUAAGGAUAUGAGGCUGGCACUCAACUACUGAAUAUGGAGUAUUACUUUGCCAUGAAAUAGCAAUACCAGAAAAAAAAAAAAGUUACAGACUAAUUGUGGAUAAAAACAUAUAAUCCUCUUCUGCAUGAGUGAACUGCAUUUUUUUGGCUGUGGAGUAUUGUGGAUAACCAAACAGAUAGUCUUGUCCCUGUAGAUCAGAACAAUAUAUGUACUUUUUAACUAUGCUACCAUCUACAGACCACUGGCAUCCCCCAGUGCUGUUUGUGGUAUAGCCAGAUUCUGUACUGCUGUUGCUUCAGUUUUCUGGGCUCACUAUGUACCUCGUAGGGUUUCAGUGUCAGUAAAUGCAAUUCUCUCUCUGCUAAUAAGAAGUUUUAGAAGGUGUGAAGUAGUUGACGGGUUCUUUUGAACCUAGUGGAUGCAAGGUAGUGGCUGUUGAUGAUGGGAGUACGCACUGGAGACUAUUUAGUCUCAGGUUGCUAAAGGAUUUCGGAAGCUGCGACUGAGUGGAAGACAUUUGUGAACAUAUUUGAUUUCUGGACCCUACAUGAACCCUUAACUUCUGGCAAAGACAGAAAUGAGAAUGGAGAGAAAAACUCUUGUAUUUGGAGAAAGAUGUAUUAUUUUCAAAUUCUGAAGGAUCAUUAUCUUCAGCACAACUAUUUUUCCUCUUGAAAUGUAGGUUAUAUUACUACAUUUGCUUCUGACUUCUCAGCCCUUGGCACCCAUAAUUCUAUUUUUCCAUUUAAAAAACUGCUGAGGUCUCUGUGCUGAUAUCUCAGCAAACACAAUAUUUCAUCUCUGACUGUAUCCUGUUUAGUCUGGAUUUGUUCAUGUUCACAAGCAAUAGAUUUGAAAUACAGCCUCACAGAAUAAUCAGUAAUAAACACACAAAAGUGACAGGCAAUAAUUUCAUAGUUUUCAUAAGAGAUAAAGUAAGAUAUCUUACUAAACUUUGCCAUAUCAUGUGAAUGUGCCAAUUUACCUCUCACAGUACGUUAGAUACAUUUGUAUUGUGAGAUAUUGGGAGAUGCUACUAUAAAUCUUGCAGUAUCUUGCAAAUGUGCAAUUACUCUUCACAAGUGCCCAGAUGGGGAUUAUAUCUCAUUAUGUCAAGUGCUAUGCAAAAAACAAAUGUCAGCUGUACUUAAUGAUGUUGGAAAGUUCAAGAACAGAUCUGCUGAUGAAAAAAAAAACAAAAAAUGGUCAGUAUCUGCUUGAAUCACAACUCAAAUGACUGGCUGUUUACAUUAACCUUGUCCAAAGCAUGUAAUCAUCCUGAGAAUGCAAAACUGGACUGAAUCACAAGAGUGAUGUUCCUUCCAAGCUUUCCGCUAGG